rnacentral:rRNA from 1 species
AGAGUUUGAUCCUGGCUCAGGACGAACGCUGGCGGCGUGCUUAACACAUGCAAGUCGAACGAGAAUCUACUGAAAGAGUUUUCGGACAAUGGAUGUAGAGGAAAGUGGCGGACGGGUGAGUAACGCGUGAGGAACCUGCCUUGAAGAGGGGGACAACAGUUGGAAACGACUGCUAAUACCGCAUGACGCAUAGAGGUCGCAUGAUUUUUAUGCCAAAGAUUUAUCGCUUCAAGAUGGCCUCGCGUCUGAUUAGCUAGUUGGCGGGGUAACGGCCCACCAAGGCGACGAUCAGUAGCCGGACUGAGAGGUUGAACGGCCACAUUGGGACUGAGAUACGGCCCAGACUCCUACGGGAGGCAGCAGUGGGGAAUAUUGCACAAUGGGCGCAAGCCUGAUGCAGCGACGCCGCGUGCGGGAUGACGGCCUUCGGGUUGUAAACCGCUUUUGAUCGGGAGCAAGCCUUCGGGUGAGUGUACCUUUCGAAUAAGCACCGGCUAACUACGUGCCAGCAGCCGCGGUAAUACGUAGGGUGCAAGCGUUAUCCGGAAUUAUUGGGCGUAAAGGGCUCGUAGGCGGUUCGUCGCGUCCGGUGUGAAAGUCCAUCGCUUAACGGUGGAUCUGCGCCGGGUACGGGCGGGCUGGAGUGCGGUAGGGGAGACUGGAAUUCCCGGUGUAACGGUGGAAUGUGUAGAUAUCGGGAAGAACACCAAUGGCGAAGGCAGGUCUCUGGGCCGUUACUGACGCUGAGGAGCGAAAGCGUGGGGAGCGAACAGGAUUAGAUACCCUGGUAGUCCACGCCGUAAACGGUGGAUGCUGGAUGUGGGGCCCGUUCCACGGGUUCCGUGUCGGAGCUAACGCGUUAAGCAUCCCGCCUGGGGAGUACGGCCGCAAGGCUAAAACUCAAAGAAAUUGACGGGGGCCCGCACAAGCGGCGGAGCAUGCGGAUUAAUUCGAUGCAACGCGAAGAACCUUACCUGGGCUUGACAUGUUCCCGACAGCCGUAGAGAUAUGGCCUCCCUUCGGGGCGGGUUCACAGGUGGUGCAUGGUCGUCGUCAGCUCGUGUCGUGAGAUGUUGGGUUAAGUCCCGCAACGAGCGCAACCCUCGCCCUGUGUUGCCAGCACGUCAUGGUGGGAACUCACGGGGGACCGCCGGGGUCAACUCGGAGGAAGGUGGGGAUGACGUCAGAUCAUCAUGCCCCUUACGUCCAGGGCUUCACGCAUGCUACAAUGGCCGGUACAACGGGAUGCGACACGGCGACGUGGAGCGGAUCCCUGAAAACCGGUCUCAGUUCGGAUUGGAGUCUGCAACCCGACUCCAUGAAGGCGGAGUCGCUAGUAAUCGCGGAUCAGCAACGCCGCGGUGAAUGCGUUCCCGGGCCUUGUACACACCGCCCGUCAAGUCAUGAAAGUGGGUAGCACCCGAAGCCGGUGGCCUAACCCUUUGUGGAUGGAGCCGUCUAAGGUGAGACUCGUGAUUGGGACUAAGUCGUAACAAGGUAGCCGUACCGGAAGGUGCGGCUG